rnacentral:rRNA from 1 species
CUUUCUCCGCCGGCGACCGGCGCACGGGUGAGUAACACGUAUGCAACCUGCCCCUGUCAGGGGGACAACCCGCCGAAAGGCGGGCUAAACCCGCGUACAUGCCACCGGGGCAUCCCGGAGGCAGGAAAGGCUUCGGCCGGACAGGGAUGGGCAUGCGGCGCAUUAGGCAGUAGGCGGGGUAACGGCCCACCUAACCGACGAUGCGUAGGGGUUCUGAGAGGAAGGUCCCCCACACUGGUACUGAGACGCGGACCAGACUCCUACGGAAGGCAGCAG